UACGUAGGGUGCAAGCGUUGUCCGGAAUUAUUGGGCGUAAAGAGCUCAUAGGCGGUUUGUCGCGUCUGCUGUGAAAACCCGAGGCUCAACCUCGGGCCUGCAGUGGGUACGGGCAGACUAGAGUGCGGUAGGGGAGAUUGGAAUUCCUGGUGUAGCGGUGGAAUGCGCAGAUAUCGGGAGGAACACCGGUGGCGAAGGCGGGUCUCUGGGCAAUUCCUGACGCUGAGGCGCGAAAGCGUGGGGAGCAAACGGG
rnacentral:rRNA from 1 species